GGCGGUAUAGCUCAGAGGUAUAGUACUUUGUCUCACAAACACAAGGCCUUGAGUUCAAACCUUAAUACUGCCA
rnacentral:tRNA from 1 species